CCACCACCUCCACGUCUUCCCCCCGCAGAUCUCUGACGUACUUUCCGUCAUGGGUGACGACAUGCCCCCCGGAUCCGAGUCGAGCCACCACUCACUGGCUGCCGGGGUCCAGAGAGUUCGGGUGCCAGAUCAAUGGUGGCUCCGUCAAAGCUGACUCCAUCGCCCUCGUACCCCCUCCCCCGUCGUGCCCCUAUUUCUGGGCAUGGAGCAGGACCAUGGGGACCUUUGCCGUCAGUGGAUCCAUCCACGCGUUCAGCAGUUAGCCACCCAUUCUUGGCAGUUACUCCCCGACAUCUCUGCUUCCCGUCAGUGUCGAGAUACAGGAGCACAAUGCUCCCAAACAGACCCGUAUCACUGGUCGAGCCGCCUAACAGCUGAUCGAGCUAACCCGUCUCCCUCGACGAAUCCACUGACCUCCUCCUCUUGUGGUGGCUCUCCUAGCUAUCCUGAGGUCUCCCUUGCACACGGGAGGUGGGGAGCGCGUCGUCCGGCCCCUAGCCGCCUCCCCAUGGCCGCAUCCCCAUCGGCGGCUGCUCGCCUCAAGCCCCUAUAUGUGGAUUCGACGCUGUGGAAAGCAGCAAUCAGCUUUUUUAUACUUGGAAAAGCAAAGUUGGUUUGCACACAGAGGCAUCACUUAUCCGUUGUUGUUUCUACAGCUUCAGCUAGCAGCAACCACAGCAGGUUGUUAGGGUCGGCCAUCCCGGCAGUUAAGUAAGACUAGUUAGAAUAGUAGUUCGAUUAUAAAAGGAAGCGACAGUCAAGAAAAAAACUGGAGAAUGGGGAGGACAAGAAUCCAGCAAGGGAGAAGGGAAAAAGAAAGCCGGUGAUCAAGUUAACUUCUGCUCCAUUGCGCCGGGGAUCGACGAGGUGCAGGACCCCUGAUGGGGAUUUACUGGUGGAGUGACCUCUCUACAACUAGCUCAAUUUCGUGUAUAAGUUAGCUUAGUUUCCAGGAGCAGUUUGCUUUACUGAUAGUUAUGUAAAAAAAGAACGACAAUGAUAAAUCCCGAACAUUCAGAUUUUAAGCAUGGCAAUCCGAACGUUUUUUAUGACAACUUUAGUUCAUGUGAGGUUGGCAAACAUUAAUUUUCUGACAAAAAAACAAACAGGGACAAAGUUGCCAUGUCUGAACAACUAAACUUGCCACCUCGCGUCAACUAAAGUUGCCAUGUAAAAACGUUUGGGAUGAAAUGCUUAAAAUCUGAACAUUCGGAUUUCAUCGGGGUCCAAAAAGAAACAGAGACCACUGCUCAAUUAGCUCUUGCCCCCAUGCUGCCAGCAGCACGAUCCAUGGUGCGCAGUUUGCCAAUGCUCAAUUUCAUGGAGCAGUUAGUUUCAGGGACUGGCUGCAGUUAUCUUGCGUCCAAAAAAAUUAAGUGAUGUACACAAUUAUGAUUUUUCCAGCCCCUGCUUGCGUGAGGUACAAAAAAUAGCAAUCUAAUGAGAGGGUUCAGUUUUGAGCCCCUCCUUGCGUGAGGUACAAAAAAUAUUUUUAAUCCCGACAGUUAACUCA